UGCGUAGGUGGUUUCUUAAGUCAGAGGUGAAAUUCCAGGGCUUAACCUUGGGGCUGCAUUUGAUACGUGUAGACUAGAGUGUGAGAGAGGGUUGUGGAAUUCCCAGUGUAGAGGUGAAAUUCGUAGAUAUUGGGAAGAACACCGGUGGCGAAGGCGGCAACCUGGCUCAUUACUGACGCUGAGGCGCGAAAGCGUGGGGAGCAAACAGGAUUAGAUUACCCUCGUA
rnacentral:rRNA from 1 species